AUUGAACGCUGGCGGCAGGCCUAACACAUGCAAGUCGAGCGAGCGGCGGACGGGUGAGUAAUCUCUGGGAAACUGCCUGAUGUAGGGAGAUAACUACUGGAAACGGUAGCUACUACAGCAUACCAUCAGAUGUGCCCAGAUGGGAUUAGCUAGUAGGUGGGGUAAAGCCUCCCCUAGGCGACGAUCCCUAGCUGGUCUGAGAGGAUGACCAGCCACACUGGAAAUGAGACACGGUCCAGACUCCUACGGGAGGCAGCAGUUGGGAAUAUUGCGCAAUGGGCGCAAGCCGGAUGCAGCCAUGCCGCGUGUAUGAAGAAGGCCUUCGGUUUGUAAAGCACUUUCAUCGAGGAGGCGGUAGCCGCAGAGGAAGCACCGGCUAACUCCGUGCCAGCAGCCGCGGUAAUAC
rnacentral:rRNA from 1 species